AGAGUUUGAUCCUGGCUCAGAAUCAACGCUGGCGGCGCGCCUAACACAUGCAAGUCGAACGAGAAAGGGGAGCAAUCCCUGAGUACAGUGGCGUACGGGUGAGUAACACGUGGAUGAUCUACCUUCUGGUGAGGAAUAACCCUGGGAAACCGGGGCUAAUACCGCAUAAGCUCGAGAGAGGAAAGCGGCGAUGCGCCGGAAGAGGAGUCCGCGGCCGAUUAGCUAGUUGGCAGGGUAAGAGCCUACCAAGGCGACGAUCGGUAGCCGGCCUGAGAGGGCACACGGCCACACUGGCACUGAAACACGGGCCAGACUCCUACGGGAGGCAGCAGUGGGGAAUCUUGCACAAUGGGGGAAACCCUGAUGCAGCGACGCCGCGUGAGCGAUGAAGCCCUUCGGGGUGUAAAGCUCUUUCGGCAGGGAAGAUGAUGACGGUACCUGCAGAAGCAGCUGCGGCUAACUACGUGCCAGCAGCCGCGGUAAUACGUAGGCAGCAAGCGUUGUUCGGAGUUACUGGGCGUAAAGGGUGUGUAGGCGGUUGUUUAAGUUUGGUGUGAAAUCUCCCGGCUCAACUGGGAGGGUGCG
rnacentral:rRNA from 1 species